GCAGGCGAUCCCUCCGCCCCAGGGCUCCCCUCCCUGUCCUGGCACCAGCCGCGCCACUCGCGCUGCCCCCGGGAGGGGACCCAGGCGUCCGGAUCCCUCCCCGCCAGGCCUCCACGUCGCCGACCCGCGAUGGCCAGGCGCAGCUCGUUGUCCAUCCGAAUCGUUGAAGGGAAAAAUCUGCCUGCUAAGGACAUCACGGGCAGCAGCGACCCCUACUGCAUCGUGAAGGUGGACAAUGAACCCAUCAUCAGGACAGCCACUGUGUGGAAGACCCUGUGCCCCUUCUGGGGUGAGGAGUAUCAAGUUCAUUUGCCUCCCACGUUCCACGCGGUGGCCUUCUAUGUCAUGGAUGAGGAUGCUCUCAGCCGGGACGAUGUUAUUGGGAAGGUCUGCCUCACGAGGGAUAUGCUAGCCUCUCACCCAAAGGGAUUCAGUGGCUGGACCCACCUGAUGGAGGUGGACCGGAAUGAGGAGGUGCAGGGCGAGAUCCACCUGCGCCUGGAGGUGGUGCCGGGGACCCAUGCCAGCCGGUUGCGCUGCUCAGUGCUUGAGGCCAGGGAUCUAGCCCCCAAAGACAGGAAUGGCGCCUCUGACCCUUUCGUCCGAGUGCACUACAAUGGCCAGACCCAGGAGACCUCGGUGGUGAAGAAAUCCUGCUACCCACGCUGGAACGAGACAUUUGAAUUUGAGCUGGAGGAGGAAACCGCAGAAGCACUGUCCGUGGAGGCCUGGGACUGGGACCUUGUUAGCCGGAAUGACUUUCUAGGCAAAGUGGUUGUCAAUGUCCAGAGACUGCAUUCAGCCCGGCAGGAAGAGGGCUGGUUCCGGCUUCAACCUGAUCAGUCCAAAAGCCAACGAGGCGGGGGCAACCUGGGCUCCUUACAGUUGGAGGUGCGGCUGCGGGAUGAGACAGUGUUGCCAUCCACCUGCUAUCAGCCUCUUGUGCAGCUCCUGUGCCAGGAGGUGAAGCUGGGCACCCAGGGCCCAGGGCAGCUGAUUCCCGUCAUCGAGGAGACGACAAGAGCCGAGUGUCGCCAGGAAGUGGCCACCACCCUGCUCAAGCUUUUCCUGGGGCAGGGACUGGCCAAGGACUUUCUGGACCUGCUCUUUCAGCUGGAGCUGGGCCGAACCAGUGAGGCCAACACCCUCUUCCGGAGCAAUUCUCUGGCCUCGAAAUCCAUGGAGUGUUUUCUGAAGGUGGCAGGAAUGCGCUAUCUGCAUGGCAUCCUGGGCCCCAUUAUUGACAGAGUGUUCGAGGAGAAGAAAUAUGUGGAGCUGGACCCCAGCAAAGUGGAAGUUAAGGAUGUAGGGUGCUCUGGGCUGCACCGCCCACAGACGGAGGCCGAGGUGUUGGAGCAGAGCGCACAGACGCUGCGUACCCACUUGGUGGCGCUGCUGAGCGCACUAUGCCGCUCGGUUCGCGCAUGCCCAGCUGUGGUCCGCGCCACUUUCCGGCAAUUGUUCCGGCGCGUGCGGGAGCGCUUUCCUAGUGCCCAGCAUCAGAAUGUACCAUUCAUCGCUGUCACUAGCUUCCUGUGCCUACGCUUCUUCUCUCCUGCCAUCAUGUCGCCCAAGCUCUUCCAUCUGCGAGAGCGGCAUGCAGAUGCUCGGACCAGCCGCACGCUACUCCUGCUGGCCAAGGUUGUGCAGAAUGUGGGCAAUCUGGACACACCGGUCUCCAGGGCCAAGGAGGCGUGGAUGGAACCGCUACAGCCCACUGUGCGCCAGGGUGUGGCGCAGCUGAAGGACUUCAUCUCCAAGCUCGUGGACAUAGAAGAGAAGGAAGAGCUGGACCUGCAGCGGGCAUUGAACUCGCAGGCACCGCCAGUGAAGGAGGGUCCGCUGUUCAUCCACAGGACCAAAGGCAAAGGCCCUCUUGCGUCCUCCUCGUUCAAGAAACUGUACUUCUCUCUCACUACCGAAGCCCUCAGCUUCGCCAAGACAUCCAGCUCCAAGAAAAGCGCCUUCAUCAAGCUCGCCAGUAUCCGGGCUGCGGAGAAGGUGGAGGAAAAGAGCUUUGGCAGCUCCCACGUCAUGCAGAUCAUCUAUGCAGACGAUGUUGGCCGGUCCCAGACUGUCUACCUGCAGUGCAAGUGUGUGAAUGAGCUGAACCAGUGGCUGUCCGCACUGCGGAAGGUGAGCAUCAACAACACGGGACUCCUGGGAUUGUACCACCCUGGCGUCUUCCGCGGGGACAAGUGGAGCUGCUGUCACCAGAAGGACAGGACAGACCAGGGCUGUGACAGGACCCACUCUCGGGUGACCCUGCAGGAAUGGAAUGACCCCCUGGACCAUGACCUUGAGGCUCAGCUCCUCUACAAGCACCUGCUAGGCGUGGAGGCUGCACUUCGGGAGAAGCAGCGGCUCCUGAGUGGGGAAACAGGAACAAGCUCACCCACAGACCGUGGUGGAGCUCCCAAGGACCCGCUGGCCCAGUUGCUUUGUGUGCUGCAAGACCUCCGGGAAGCCCACAGCUCCAGCCUGGCUGGCGCCCCACCCAGAGAGCCCCAUCACCUUCUAGAGCUACAGACGUGAGGCGUACGCCGAGCCUGGCAGGCAUUUGGAGAACCCCGACAUGCUCAGGACCCUCGUCACGGCCAUCUCUUCUGGGGAGGCCAUAGCCCAACAUGGGCUUCUCCAUGUCUGUGGGGGACAGCGGUGGCACCUGCGUCUUUGGGAGACCCGACUGCUCAGCUCUCAAGGAUACUGGAGUAGUGCAGCACGCCGCUCCCGCCAGCAGAAGAGACGACCGCAACAGGAUUCUUCUCAGAACACACUUUAUUGGAGCACUUACACUUGAGGUUGUAGAGAGGCAAAAGACCCCGUCCCCGUGAAGCAGAAGAAUAUAUACGGUGCCAGACAAAGCCCUGACGUGUCAUCAACCCAAUGGCUCAGGCCAGAAUGAGUGAUCGUGCUGAAUUAUGAUUGGCCAGAUCAGAUGGCCAGAUCGAUAGACUCCCCGCGCUGGGGGGGGGGGGAGCUCGCGUGCAUGCGCACAAGUUGUCUGUCAAGUUUGACGUGGAACAGCAAACAGCGCCCAGGCUCCGUGCCCACGACAUGACAGUGCCGUGGCGGUGCUACAUCUCUGCGCGCUACAUCUCUGCGCGCUACAGAGUAGGCAGAGUAGGCAAGCUCGAACUCAAAUGACUUUUAAGUCAGAAUGGACUCCAGAUGGAAACCGAGUCACUCAUGGGCUCCCACAAAACCUAGGGCGCGAUUGUGCUCAGAAAGCUCUCUUCCAGUGGACCCACAGGUCUGGCCCCAUUAGCUCUGAGACAGUAUCUCAUCUAGUCAGGCUGGCUUCAAACAACUGUCCAGCUGAGGAGGAUCUUGAACUCCUGAUCCCAGUGACUCCAUCUCGACAGUGCUGGCUUUACAGGCCUAAGCCACCAUGCCUGAAUUCAAGGGCUAUGCUCAAAAAUCACACUCAGGCUGGCAGUGUGGUUCAGUGGUAGGACACCUGCCUGGCAUAUACAAGACCCUGGGUUCCAUCUCUAGGGUCGUAAACAGUUCAGCCAAUACAAACAAUAACUAAGUGGCUACUGGUCAGGGCAUGUCCUGGUUUCUCAUCGUCUCAGCUCUGGUUUUCAGGGUGGCCUGAAGAAAACCUUAUUGCUCCUUCCCAUGAGACGACUCCUCCUCACGGGGUGGUCUGUCUUCAGGGGUCUCCUGUUCCUAGAAAUCAAGGUGACUACAUGCUUUGGACUGUGACUGGAGAAAGUCUGCAUGGAGAAGCCCUGCAUGAUUUCUGCUCUUCCUCCUCGUCUUCUUCUGAAUUUGAAGGGACAAAAGCUGAGCAAGAUGCCUGCAAUAUCUGUGCCUUCCGCCUUCAAGGCAGAUGCACUGGGCUAGCUGUGACUAGGUCUUAGGUAGACCCUCCAGGAAUAGCAUGCCCAUUCGCACAGGCAGGGGUCUGUGACACAGUGUGAGGGGCUCCCAAGUCCUCUGGCACCUGACAUCAUCUUCACCUGUUUCCUGCGGCACCACCAUCAUCCAUGCCACAUACUGGUGCCUCAGUGCUCACAAUACCAGUGGAUAGGGUGGCGCCCGCCUGCGAUUUCAACGCCUGGGAGACUGAGUCGGUAAUGGUUACUGUUCUUGUUGCUGUCUACAAACCUGACAGAAGCAUCUUAAGGAAGGGUACAGCUCAUCAUGGUGGGGAUGCCAUAGCCACAGGAGUGCCAGGCAGCUGAUCCCGUUGCCAUCGGCAGCCAGGAAGCAGAACGAGAUGACUUACUUUCUUCUUUUAAUGAGUCUGAGACCUUAGACUCUAGUGUGCCGUCACCCACAUUAAUGGUAAGUCUUUCUUCCUCAGUUAAACCUGUCUAGACUCUCACAGACCCAGAAGUUUUGUUUCGUUUUUAACUUUGCAUUGUGUGUGCACCGAUAUGCAGAUGCUGUACACAGGGAGGUCAGAGGAGUUCUUCUCUCCUUCCCACAUGGAUCCUGGGAAUUGAAACCAGGUAGUCAGGUGUGGUGACACUACCUUUACCCAGUGGGCUGCCUUGCAGGUCCCACCUAGAGCUCUGUUUCCACAAUGAUCUUAAAUUUCAUCCGGCUGACAAGAACCAUCGUGGAGGCUGGAGAAAUGGCUCCGCAGUUAAGAGCCUUACUGCUCUUCGGGGGACUAAGUUCGGUUCCCAGCAGCCACGUAGGGUGGUUCACACGCACUUGUAACUCCAGCUCCAAAGGACCCAACCCUCUUCUGGUCUCCAAAGGCACCUACAGACACGUGCCACACAAAUCUUUAAAAAUAGAAAACACUAACUGCCACAGAGACCGCUGAAAAAACGGAGAGGGGCCAGGAUUUCAUCGUGUGUUUAGUUAUCUGUGUGCCCAAGAGAGAAUCCACUGGCACCCCAAGCUCUUCCCCGACCUUUACACAUUUUCCUGCUGUCCUGAAUCUCAUCCAGCAAACUUCACAAGGACGCCGGUGUCGACCCAGCCGGGGGUCCUGCAGCAGCAGCCCACACAGGCGACUUUACACACACAGUUCGGACACCAGCUCAGGGCGGACCAGUGAGCCAGUUGCAGGUGGCUCAGCUUUCCCCGCGCCGGCAUAGGCGCCCAAAAGCGGCCGGGUGACAGCAACGGACC